rnacentral:rRNA from 1 species
ACCCGCUGAACUUAAGCAUAUCAGUAAGCGGAGGAAAAGAAACUAACUAGGAUUCCCCGAGUAGCGGCGAGCGAAAGGGGAGAAGCCCAGCGCUGAAGCCCGCGGCCUCCGGUCGCGGUGCAAUGUGGCGUUUCGGCGGCGUCUUGCCGCGCCGGCUCCGGCACGCGUACCUCUGAAUGGGUCUGCCCGCAGCGGGUGUCAGGCCUCUAGGUGCCAGGUGAGCCGACGCGGCCCGGCGUCCGUCGCGGAGUCGGGUUGCUUGAGAGUGCAGCCCAAAGUGGGUGGUAAGCUCCAUCUAAGGCUAAAUACCUAGUGCGAGACCGAUAGCAAACAAGUACCGUGAGGGAAAGUUGCAAAGAACUUUGAAAAGAGAGUUCAAGAGUACGUGAAACCGUUCAGAGGCAAACGGACGGAACUGGGCGAGUUCGCCGCCGCCAUUCAGCCGCGCGCCCGCGCGCGGUGCACUUGGCGGCGGCGGAGCGCGACGACCGCCUGUCGGGUCGUCUGAAGCCCGGCGGCAAGGUGGCGACGCGCUCGCGCGUCGUGUUACAGGCCGCCGCGGCGUCGGCAGACCUGGCGGGCGAGGAGCGCCCGCGGUGCCCUCUCGCCCCUCGGGGCGGGAGCGGCCCGCGCGCUGGGCUUGCGGCCGUCGGCGGCGAACUGCUCGCAGUUUGCCGCUUGGCGCGUCGCUCGUCUCGGCGCGCGGUGCCGCGGGCACCCGGGGUCCGGGUCGUGUGGUUCCUGGCACUCCGUCCGACCCGUCUUGAAACACGGACCAAGGAGUUGAGCACGCGCGCGAGUCGAUGGGCUCUCGAGAACCCCAGUGGCGCAGCUAAGGCAAAACGGGCGUGAUCCGGCACUGGCGUGCCGGCGCAACGCCGGCCCGCAGCCGACUCGUUGCGAGUGGCUGCGGUGCAAGAGCGUGCGUGCUCAGACCCGAAAGGUGGUGAACUAUGCUUGAGCAGGGCGAAGCCAGAGGAAACUCUGGUGGAGGCUCGCAGCGAUCCUGACGUGCAAAUCGGUCGUCAAACUUGAGCAUAGGGGCGAAAGACUAAUCGAACCGCCUAGUAGCUGGUUCCCUCCGAAGUUUCCCUCAGGAUAGCUGGCACUCGGGAUAAAUGGUUUUAUCCGGUAAAGCGAAUGAUUAGAGGCAUUGGGGACGAAACGUCCUCAACCUAUUCUCAAACUUUAAAUGGGUAAGAGGCGCGACCCUUCCUGAUACGGGGUCGCGUGCUUGAACAGAGAGUGCCCAGUGGGCCGUUUUUGGUAAGCAGAACUGGCGCUGUGGGAUGAACCAAACGCGCGGUUAGGGUGCCUAACGCACGCUCAUGAGACACCACAAAAGGUGUUGGUUGAUAUAGACAGCAGGACGGUGGCCAUGGAAGUCGGAAUCCGCUAAGGAGUGUGUAACAACUCACCUGCCGAAUCAACUAGCCCUGAAAAUGGAUGGCGCUGGAGCGUGCGACCCAUACCGCGCCGUCGGGGCAACGCGUGCGAAAUGCCAGGCCCCGACGAGUAGGAGGGCGCGUCGGUGGCGUUGAAGCGUAGUGCGUGGGCACGCGUGGAGCCGCCUUCGGUGCAGAUCUUGGUGGUAGUAGCAAGUAUACAAAUGAGAACUUUGUAGACCGAAGUGGAGAAGGGUUCCAUGUGAACAGCAGUUGGACAUGGGUCAGUCGGCCCUAAGAGAUCGGAAAAUUCCGUUCUGAACGGGGAGAGAGGUGGUGGUCGGAGCCGUCCGGGCCGGUGUGGCCCGGCGCGCCGUCAAAGGUUGGCUGGCCGCGCGAUGCCAGCGCGCUCGGACUUUGGCGUCCGGAGAGCGACUUUCAGAGCAGGAGUCGCGUCGUGCGUCGAGCGGUUUGUGUGCAGCGCGCCGUCAAAGCAGGGUAAUCCGAUGUGUGACGGAAGCGCGGCAGCGCGCCACAACCGAGCGACGCGGCCGACGCGGCCGCCGGCGCCCCUGUCGUAGCGGGGGACCCCCUGUCGUAGCGGGGGGAUAGUGCUGGCGGCCGCGAGCGGCGGCGACGCGGCGACAUAGCUGCCGCCUAGUUCUCCGCGACGUUGCCACACGCCCGCCUCCUUCCUUGAGGAGAGGAGAGAGCGGGCGAUGGAUACCCGAACAAGGUACAGUUGCAAAAACGAGAGCGCGCUGAAGGCGCGGCCGGCGGCUGGGCGCCCGGCCGGACGGUCGACCGCGCACUCGGGAAGGUGUCCCCGAUGCGAUCGAAAGGGAAUCGGGUUAAUAUUCCCGAACCUGGCAGUGGAGAUUGGGCCCUCGGGCCCCAGUGCGGUAACGCAACCGAACUCGGAGACGCCAGCGUCGAUCCCGGGAAGAGUUCUCUUUUCUUUGUUAGGAGCGGACUCCCUGGAAUUGGCUUGUCCAGAGAUAGGGACGUUGCAUCCGUAAAGCGUCGCGCCUCACGCGGCGUCCGGUGCAUCGGCGCUGGCCCUUGAAAAUCCGAGGAAGGCAGUGUAAUUUUCACUCCAGGCCGUACCCGAAUCCGCAGCAGGUCUCCAAGGUGAACAGCCUCUGGUCGAUAGAACAAUGUAGGUAAGGGAAGUCGGCAAAUCCGAUCCGUAACUUCGGGACAAGGAUUGGCUCUGAGGUGCGGGCUGCUUCGGGUCGCGGCAAGAAGCGGACCGCGCGUUGGCUGGACUGGGUGCGCCUCGCGUGCGCCCGGACCGCCGCCAGCGCGCGUCCGUGGGCGGCCGUUGCUUUCGCCGGCGUCGGCCUCGGUCGGCGUCGGCUUCGUUCGGCCUAAACGCACGGCACAGAACUGGCACGGACUCUGAGAACACGACUGUCUAAUUAAAACAAAGCAUCGCGAUGGCCGCUGGUCGGUGUUGACGCGAUGUGAUUUCUGCCCAGUGCUUUGAAUGUCAAAGUGAAGAAAUUCAACCAAGCGCAGGUAAACGGCGGGAGUAACUAUGACUCUCUUAAGGUAGCCAAAUGCCUCGUCAUCUAAUUAGUGACGCGCAUGAAUGGAUUAACGAUGUUCUCACUGUCCCUAUCUACUAUCUAGCGAAACCACAGCCAAGGGAACGGGCUUGGCAAAUACAGCGGGGAAAG